rnacentral:rRNA from 1 species
GAUACGGGACUCAUCCGAGGCCCCGUAAUCGGAAUGAGUACACUUUAAAUCCUUUAACCAGGAUCCAUUGGAGGGCAAGUCUGGUGCCAGCAGCCGCGGUAAUUCCAGCUCCAAUAGCGUAUAUUAAAGUUGUUGCGGUUAAAAAGCUCGUAGUUGAAUCUGUGUGCCACGCUGUCGGUUCACCGCUCGCGGUGUUUAACUGGCAUGAUUGUGGGACGUCCUACCGGUGGAUUUAGCUGUAUGAAAGUAUGGCGGUCCAACUAAUAUCCCAUCGCGGUGCUCUUCACCGAGUGUCGAGGUGGGCCGGUACGUUUACUUUGAACAAAUUAGAGUGCUUAAAGCAGGCUUAUUUCGCCUGAAUAUUGUGUGCAUGGAAUAAUGGAAUAGGACCUCGGUUCUAUUUUGUUGGUUUUUGGAACCCCGAGGUAAUGAUUAAUAGGGACAGAUGGGGGCAUUCGUAUUGCGACGUUAGAGGUGAAAUUCUUGGAUCGUCGCAAGACGAACAGAAGCGAAAGCAUUUGCCAAAAAUGUUUUCAUUAAUCAAGAACGAAAGUUAGAGGUUCGAAGGCGAUCAGAUACCGCCCUAGUUCUAACCAUAAACGAUGCCAGCUAGCGAUCCGCCGAAGUUCCUCCGAUGACUCGGCGGGCAGCUUCCGGGAAACCAAAGCUUUUGGGUUCCGGGGGAAGUAUGGUUGCAAAGCUGAAACUUAAAGGAAU